AGAAUCAACGCUGGCGGCGUGCCUAACACAUGCAAGUCGAACGAGAAAGUGGAGCAAUCCACAAGUAAAGUGGCGCACGGGUGAGUAACACGUGACUAACCUACCCUUGAGUGGGGGAUAACCUAGAGAAAUCUGGGCUAAUACCGCAUAAUACCUUCGGGUCAAAGGAGCAAUUCGCUUAAGGAGGGGGUCGCGGCCGAUUAGUUAGUUGGCGGGGUAAUGGCCCACCAAGACUAUGAUCGGUAU
rnacentral:rRNA from 1 species